UUAUAAACUAAUCAGGAGUGCUAGCCUUGAUUGUAUUGCAUAAAUUUCAAAUUGUCAAUACAAAUCCUAAUUUUGAAUAACAAUUUUUAAGUCCAAAAAAAACCUACAAAAAUAAUAUUUAUGUCUUUAAAACAAGCUUUAAGCUAGCUCUUGAAUCUUAAUCUUUGAUCUUCAAAUGAAAUCCUAUUUUUCUCUAGGUUGUCAUUUUAGUAGCUAGAGGUCUGAUUUUGACCAUGUCUCACAAAUGGUCGACCCCGAAUAUCAAUCUAAUCUAUCCUAGAGAUUUUUUUAGUCCAAUUCUACCCUCAACUUAAUCCUAG
rnacentral:lncRNA from 1 species